CCUACGGGUGGCUGCAGUGAGGAAUAUUGGUCAAUGGACGAGAGUCUGAACCAGCCAAGUAGCGUGAAGGAUGACUGCCCUAUGGGUUGUAAACUUCUUUUAUAUGGGAAUAAAAUGUUCCACGUGUGGGAUUUUGUAUGUACCAUAUGAAUAAGGAUCGGCUAACUCCGUGCCAGCAGCCGCGGUAAUGCGGAGGAUCCGAGCGUUAUCCGGAUUUAUUGGGUUUAAAGGGAGCGUAGGUGGAGUGUUAAGUCAGUUGUGAAAGUUUGCGGCUCAACCGGAAAAUUGCAGUUGAAACUGGCAGUCUUGAGUACAGUAGAGGUGGGCGGAAUUCGUGGUGUAGCGGUGAAAUGCGUAGAUAUCACGAAGAACUCCGAUUGCGAAGGCAGUUCACUGGACUGCAACUGACACUGAGGCUCGAAAGUGUGGGUAUCAAACAGGAUUAGAUACCCGGGUAGUC
rnacentral:rRNA from 1 species